ensembl:lncRNA
GUACCUGAGGCUCAAAGAACACACGAUAUCUACUGAUGUGACCUCCUUUUGCUCAGGGAACUCACCAUGAGCGUCUUGACUCAGGGUGGGCUUCAGCCUUGUGUAAAGCCUUGUGUCCAGGGCACUGCUGUCCCUGAGGCCAACUCCUGUCUUUGCAAAGAGCUUCAGCCAUCACUGGGCAUCAUGAAGGCCCUCUCCACAUUCAUCACCAGAUAAUAGCCUGAAGGAGAAAUGCGUGAAAUCACAUUUUUUAUAAGCAUCUAAAAGCAUUGCCUCCUGUUGACUUCAUCUGACACCAUCUGCACUUAGGGCUGAGAAGAUUUAGAGCAUUUGCAUUUGUUUUUAAAGGAAGGAGAAAAGAAAAUUUGCAGCUCUUGAAAAGGACAAGUUUGAUGCUGUGUUUCUGACCCCACUCUUACAGAACUCAGAAUUUGCUGUGGUCUUCUUCCUUUUUACAUGAAUGACAUUGCAAGGCGCUUGUUUGAUGUUUGUCUAAGCAUUUCAAGUAGGAUGGUUCUGCUCUACCGUGAUGACAGUGUUGUUUUGUAGAUAUUGUAAUUCCUCUCUGUUUUGGGUAACAUUUAACAGUCAUGAGAAAUAUUUUAGAAAUAAGAUAAGAUUUUAAAUAACUCAGGGUUUUCCCUUGCUACUUAGCAGGCUGCACUUCAUACGGCUUUUAAGGCAUAUGACAGGAGAAACUGCCACCAUUAAGAUUUUCCAAUUCCUUCUAAGUCUUGUUCUUCUGCGUUUAAUAACUUGCCCCAAAUUUUCAUUUCUCAAGCUGAAAUUUCUCAAUCUUUGCUUCAUCCUGACAGUAGAUCCCUCUGGAAUGCUUAAAAAGAGAUGGCAGAGACAGACAGCCUUUACACAUACCCUUCCACCAGGAAAACAGCAACACCUGGAUGUGAGCAGAAGGGGCUGAGAGAUGUGGGGGAAUUGGACAGAAGAGAGGCUUUGGUUUUUUUUUUUUCUUUCCAAAACGUGAGCAGGAGAAAACCUUCAGCCUGCUCUGCAUUCAAUCCCAAUCCACACACACUGCAGGUGCUUGAGAUGCAAUUAAUAACGUCAGACCCUUUUACAGUUUUAGAGAAGUUAUUUAUUGUUACUACUGUGUUGGCAUGGCACUUAUCACCGCAGCAAUAAAGCCUCUUGCUGGCAGUGCUGGAUCCAGCCUCACAACCUGCCUGCGAGGCGGGAAAGCUGUGGGGAUGGAAGCUGAGGCCCAGCAGGAUGAAGCGGUUAUGGCCGGCAGCUCGUGGCUGUGUGAAACGCAGGCCUCUGAGCACAGGGCAGCACUUUGCUGCACAAGUGAAUGUAAGUUUUCCAUUCUCAAAUUUAAAUGCCCCUCUGCCAGUCAGGAAAAAAAUAUAUUCAAUAUUUUCUAGCCUGAUUUUGGAAGCAAAAACUGACCUUUUGUGGUGGGGUGUACGCUAAUGUCAUAUGGAGGAGUGCAGCUGCACCACAGGAGUGGUACCCCAACAGGUGUGGGGUCUGUGCUGUCAGAGAGCAGGGAGCAAAGCCCUGCCCAAGCCCAACCCACCUGCAAGCAGCUCCAAUGCAACUUCAGCCUGACAGCAAUACCACGAUACCUGCUGGAACACCAGAUAAGAAACCCCUUUCUGAGAGCUGACAGCCCAGCUACUCUGCUUUGCCAGCUGCUAACUGCCAGCUGGAAACACACUCAGUGUCAUCCUUUUUUCCCCAGAGGAUUAAAACGUGUGGUGGAACAAACUUUUCCUCCAUCUUCUCUCCUUGUAACACUGGGGAGUGCCUCCUGUCCCACCGGCGCUGGGCCUGGUGCAGGUCAGGUUUCCUGGCUGGUUCCCUUCCUCACCUUGCUCUCAGCACCUUAUGGUGCCAAACACAUGGAGACUCUAUGACCUUAUGGUCCAUCCAGGCCUGAAAUACGCCAGGCAGAGCUGAGUGGUCAUGGUUGUCGGUACCAGACAGUCUUCAUGUCAGAGGUGAUAAAUAAAUAAAAGAUAGCUUUCACCAAGACAAAAAGCAAACACAGAGAGGCACUUGAAAUUAGUUUAUACACUGCCCAUCUUUGCAAAAUGUAUGAAAGGAAAUUAGGCUAAUUAAUAAGGGAAGACAGUAUGAAAGUCUGAAUUUUAACCUACCGUGCAGGAGGUGCCCAGCCAGCGGAUUGCCUGAAGGCAAGGGUGGAUGGGAAAGAAACACAAUUAGUCAUAAAGGAAAGGCUAUUUUCUAUAUUCCCUAUUUCUUUCCCUAGCCUGGGCAGGAUUCUGGUCAAGGUGGGGUUUUUGUCUGAGACAAGUGACAUUUUGUAUAUUAAACUUUCAGGGACUGUGCUGAGAAAUACACGAGCAUGACUCCAGUACCAGUAUGAAUGCUAAUUAUGUUCAAAAAUAAUUAGUUACUCGGUGAUAGACGUGGCAGAUUUAUUUAAAUUCCUGCCAGUCGAACACAAGUGCAGAGAUUGUAUUUGCCUGGGGUGGCUGCUCCUCUACACACGCUGGGACAAUACAGCUCACCCAUAUGGAGGUGAGCUCUCCCAUUAAUACCCUAUUAUGGCUUUGUACUACGGGUUACAUUAAUGUCCUUACUUAACAUUUCAGAAGCAUCAGUGAUAUUAAUAAACAUUAAGGACUAGCUCAGGAAUAAUUUACACAAAGUGCAGCGAAGUUCUGCUCUGGCAGCGCUUGUUGUUUUAAGACAUUUGUAAUGGGGUGACACUCUCCUCGUAAAACACCCAGACAAGAACAGGUCAUUUGUUUUGUGUCACUUUAGGCUCUGAAGCAAAAAAAUCUGCAUUAACUUCUGGCAGUGAGUCACACUGGGAGGCUGGCCAUGACCUCGUGUCCACAGGGCUCAGGAGAGAGGUUUGCCUUCCUUUGUGUUCCUUGGGACAAGGCCAUGGAGGGGAGGAUGCUCUGCUAGGAAAGAUGAGGCCUUUGAGGGGAACCUUGCAAACUGAGAAAGUUUAGGAAGGAUGUCUAGGCUGAAAUUUAUAUUCUUGAAGUUGUUUUUAAUCACGUAGGAAAACAAGUCCCAUCAUGCAGGGGUAAGUUUGGUUGAAUAGUUUUUAGACUGAAGGUUAUUCACAGCUGAGUGGUUUGAUUCUCCAGUGCUAAUUAUGUCUGCCUUCAGUUGGAUCAUGAGAGUAAAAAGCUUUUUUUUUUUUUUUUUUUUCCAAAAUGGAUAAACAAUAUUGAAAAUCAGAGAACAACUUGUUGGUAGUAAAUGAUGAAGAAAGUUAAAUGCAUUAGAUCUGUAGAUGUUUUCUGUGAAUUUCCUCAAAUACCUUUUCCCAAAUGACACACAACACAAUCUGUGCAUGCACGACAAACCAAAGUCAACAUUUAUCUGUAGGAAAACACCUGCAAAUCAGGAUCAUCAGUUUGUUCAGCAUGAAAAGUACCUUAGCCCUUAUCCUACAAAUAAUAAAAUCAAAUCAUUUACUCCCGCAGCUGAUCGUUCAGACACCUUAUGAAGUAAAACCACUCUGAGUUAGGAAAGCAUUGCAGAGUGUACAUAAAUGCAAGGGCCUCGGUCUUGUCACAGCAAAGUCAAUGGCAAAGUGCCCAUUGAGUUAAAACCCGAAGAAAACAGCCACCGGAGCAACGAGCUGUAAUCUGCCUUAAUCCAUAGUAUCAGCUGUUGACAGAUACAUACAGAGUGCUAAAAAAUGUUAGCAAAGCAGUAGGGACUGAGAGACAGCUCUGAAACUUUCCUUAUCACGUUUCUAAAUUCACCAGAGGUACCAUCCUUACGAUGUAUGACAAAACAUAUGUUUUCUCUCCAAACUCGCUGGCAGAUCUAACCAAAAGUGUCAUCAGACUAUCGGAAACUGACUAGUGGAGAUGAAGCUCCUGUUCUGCUCUUCCUUGUUCCUUCUCAGAGAUGAAAAGAAAAGCCCCGCUGGGAUCUGCCCACCUCAUAUGUUCUGCAGACCCAAGGUCUAUCCAGCUGGAGCUUGUUCUCUCUUCAAACAUUUUGCAGCAAUGUUUAAAGUGUUAUUUAUUUAAUUACCUAUUCACUUACCUUAAUGAUCUAUUUAUUUAUUUAUUUCCCUCCUGCUCAAACAAGAAAUUAAAGGAGAAUUGGGGUCUGAACAACACAUUUCCUGCAUUUUGGGACAGCUGUUCUUUUCGCUAAAACCAGCAGCCUCAGAUAAUGCUGUGGAGGAGGACUGGUCCACAACACCCUCUGGAUGGCCAUGCUGCAGCCCCAGGUCCUCUGUCUUGCUGAACUUAUUUAUUCAUGUUUGGCACGUGGCAGUGACCACGCACUCACUGGACCAUAGAUGUCUUAUGAGACCUCACCAGAACUCUCAUCUUCUAGCACAAUUUGAGUAUCUGCUGACAUUUGUGUACUGGAGGUGAGUUACUUCAAGAAGCAGUGGUUAAUAAUAAAGAUGUUUUGGACUCUGAAAAGGUUGUUCUGCCUGAAGGAUCCAACCUUUGGAUAUAUAAUAUUUGAGUUUAAGAAUUAGAGUGAUAAGCACCUUUUUAGAGAUAUGGCCUGAUAGAGAAGGACCAGCCUGUAGUCCUGGAGUAGGCUAUGUACAACCCUGUGGGAACUGCUCCGCCACAUCUAGAUCUUGCCUGUGUUUCCUUCUCCCAAGGGAGCUCCAGGCUAGCACCUGAAGCAAAGCUUAGUGUUUCAAUAAACACUAUUAAUACACUAUUAAUACUGUGUAGCAAACUAUCCCAGUAGUCAUGAACCUGCAGAUGCAUGGAUCCAGUGAAGCAAGCAGAGCCCAGGCAGAGCAGUGUGAGCAUGCCUGCUUUGCUCUGUUCCUCCAGCUCAGCAUCCAAGUGUUCUCUGAGCCAGACACAAUCCAUUGGCUGCUGCAGCCCUCUCGUGGUCACCUCAAAGACAGAAUUUCUACAUGGGAAGGCAGCGUGUCUUAAAAAGCACCACUAAUAGUUAAUAGAUACCAUAUUAAAGCAAGAAUAAAUAUAUAAAUAAAAGGAACAGACGCUUAGAACAGUACUUGCUCCAGGUGUACAAGA